AGUGAACGCUGGCGGCGUGCCUAAUACAUGCAAGUCGAACGGAGUGGCGCGCGGGUGAGUAAUGUAUAGCUAAUCUGCCCUCCACUAGAGGAGAACAGUUGGAAACAGCUGCUAAUACUCCAUAGUGUAGGAUGAGGCUAUAUUGUAUCAGCUAGUUGGUGAGGGAAUGGAUCACCAAGGCUAUGACGCAUAACUGGUCUGAGAGGAUGAUGAGUCAAACGGUAAGUGAGACACGGUUCAGACUCCUACGGGAGGCAGCAGUAGGGUAUAUUGCUCAAUGGGGGAAAACCUGAAGCAGCAACGCCGCGUGGAGGAUGACACUUUUCGGAGCGUAAACUCCUUUUGUUAGGGAAGCGGUACCUAACGAAGAAGCACCGGCUAACUCCGUGCCAGCAGCCGCGGUAAUUC
rnacentral:rRNA from 1 species